UGCAAGUCGAGCGCGCCUUCGGGCGAGCGGCGGACGGGUUAGUAACGCGUGGGAACGUGCCCAGAUCUACGGAAUAGCCACUGGAAACGGUGAGUAAUACCGUAUACGCCCUUCGGGGGAAAGAUUUAUCGGAUUUGGAUCGGCCCGCGUUAGAUUAGGUAGUUGGUGGGGUAACGGCCUACCAAGCCUACGAUCUAUAGCUGGUUUUAGAGGAUGAUCAGCAACACUGGGACUGAGACACGGCCCAGACUCCUACGGGAGGCAGCAGUGGGGAAUCUUGGACAAUGGGGGCAACCCUGAUCCAGCCAUGCCGCGUGAGUGAAGAAGGCCCUAGGGUCGUAAAACUCUUUCGCCUGUGAUGAUAAUGACAGUAGCAGGUAAAGAAACCCCGGCUAACUCCGUGCCAGCAGCCGCGGUAAUACGGAGGGGGUUAGCGUUGUUCGGAAUUACUGGGCGUAAAGCGCACGUAGGCGGAUUAGAAAGUUAGAGGCGAAAUCCCGGGGCUCAACCCCGGAACUGCCUUUAAAACUACUAGUCUANAGUUCGAGAGAGGUGAGUGGAA
rnacentral:rRNA from 1 species